rnacentral:tRNA from 1 species
GGAGGGUAUAGCUCAGUUGGUGGAGUGCAUGUUUAUCAUGCAUGAGGUCCUGGGUUCAAUCCCCAGUUCCUCCA